CCGCCGAAUGGCAGCCUCCAGAAAGCCACCGCGAGUAAGGGCGAAUCACCAGGAUUUUCAACUGAGAAAUUUAAGAAUAAUUGAACCUAACGAGGUGACACACUCAGGAGACACAGGUGUGGAAACAGACGGCAGAAUGCCUCCAAAGGUGACUUCAGAGCUGCUUCGGCAGCUGAGACAAGCCAUGAGGAACUCUGAGUAUGUGACGGAACCGAUCCAGGCCUACAUCAUCCCAUCGGGAGAUGCUCAUCAGAGUGAGUAUAUUGCUCCAUGUGACUGUCGGCGGGCUUUUGUCUCUGGAUUCGAUGGCUCUGCGGGCACAGCCAUCAUCACAGAAGAGCAUGCAGCCAUGUGGACUGACGGGCGCUACUUUCUCCAGGCUGCCAAGCAAAUGGACAGCAACUGGACACUUAUGAAGAUGGGUCUGAAGGACACACCAACUCAGGAAGACUGGCUGGUGAGUGUGCUUCCUGAAGGAUCCAGGGUUGGUGUGGACCCCUUGAUCAUUCCUACAGGCAUCUCCUGGAAGGACAAGGUUGCAGACCUUCGGUUGAAAAUGGCUGAGAGGAACGUCAUGUGGUUUGUGG
rnacentral:sRNA from 1 species